rfam:Rhizobium sp. CF142 PMI11_contig_38.38, whole genome shotgun sequence.
CAUAUGGGGUUGCGAUCACCCCACGAGGCGACAUGCCGAAGAAUCGCGUCCAUCGAAACCGAACAACGGAGGGACGCGUCUUG